UGAGCAAUCUGCCCUUCUCAUCGGAAUAAGCGUUGGAAACGACGUCUAAUGCCGAAUACGACCUCCUUUCGCAUGAUCGGAGGUGGAAAGCUCCGGCGGAGAAGGAUGAGCUCGCGGCCUAUCAGCUAGUUGGUGUGGGUAAUGGCCCACCAAGGCGACGACGGGUAGCCGGCCUGAGAGGGUGACCCGACCACACUGGGACUGAGACACGGCCCAGACCUCCGUACGGGAGCAG
rnacentral:rRNA from 1 species